GUAAGGAAUAUUGGACAAUGGACGCAAGUCUGAUCCAGCCAUGCCGCGUGAAGGAUUAAGGUCCUCUGGAUUGUAAACUUCUUUUAUAAGGGACGAAAAAAGGCUUUUCUAAGUCGUCUGACGGUACCUUAUGAAUAAGCACCGGCUAACUCCGUGCCAGCAGCCGCGGUAAUACGGAGGGUGCAAGCGUUAUCCGGAUUCACUGGGUUUAAAGGGUGCGUAGGCGGGCAGGUAAGUCAGUGGUGAAAUCCUAGAGCUUAACUCUAGAACUGCCAUUGAUACUAUCUGUCUUGAAUAUUGUGGAGGUAAGCGGAAUAUGUCAUGUAGCGGUGAAAUGCUUAGAUAUGACAUAGAACACCUAUUGCGAAGGCAGCUUACUACGCAUAUAUUGACGCUGAGGCACGAAAGCGUGGGGAUCAAACAGG
rnacentral:rRNA from 1 species